GAUGAACGCUGGCGGUGUGCCUAAUACAUGCAAGUCGAACGAAGUCUUCGGACUUAGUGGCGAACGGGUGAGUAACACGUUGGUACCUACCCUCUAGUGGGGAAUAACUGCCCGAAAGGGUGGCUAAUACCGCAUAAUACCGCAAGGUUAAAGCAGUAAUGCGCUAGAGGAGGGGCCUGCGUCUGAUUAGCUAGUUGGUGAGGUAAUAGCUCACCAAGGCUACGAUCAGUAGCNGGAUCGAGAGGUUGACCAGCCACACUGGGACUGAGAUACGGCCCAGACUCCUACGGGAGGCAGCAGUAGGAAUCUUCCACAAUGGACAAAGUCUGAUGGAGCAACACCGCGUGCAGGAUGACGGUCUUCGGAUUGU
rnacentral:rRNA from 1 species